rnacentral:lncRNA from 1 species
AGAACGGAUUUUUACAAACCCGAACCCGAACCCGACUCCAAACCCAAAACCCGAACCCGAACCCGAACAGGACGGAUUUUAAAAAUCCAUAUACAAACCCGAACCCGACCAAAAAUCCGAAACCCGAAUCCGAAAAUCCGACCCGAAAUAAUUAUUUCUCUUUUCAAUAUUUCAAAAUAUAUUACAUUAAAUCUAAACUUUUAAAAUAAAAUUCAAAUAUAACAUCAAAUUUUUAUAUACAUAUUACAUAUAAUGUAAAAUAAAUUCGGGUUCGGGUUGAGUUCGGAUUCAAAAGGGUACAGUCAAAACCCAUAAUCCUCGGAUUUUUAUUUAUCUAAAAUUAUAUCCAUUUAGCAUCGCAUAAAUUCGCUCCGUUCAUGUUCGAGUUCGGAUAAAAUUUCGGGUAU